GAUGAACGCUGGCGGCGUGCCUAAUACAUGCAAGUCGAACGAAACUUCUUUAUCACCGAGUGCUUGCACUCACCGAUAAAGAGUUGAGUGGCGAACGGGUGAGUAACACGUGGGCAACCUGCCCAAAAGAGGGGGAUAACACUUGGAAACAGGUGCUAAUACCGCAUAACCAUAGUUACCGCAUGGUAACUAUGUAAAAGGUGGCUAUACUACCGCUUUUGGAUGGGCCCGCGGCGCAUUAGCUAGUUGGUAGGGUAAAGGCUUACCAAGGCAAUGAUGCGUAGCCGAAUUGAGAGGUUGAUCGGCCACAUUGGGACUGAGACACGGCCAAAACGCCUACGGGAGGCAGCAGUAGGGAAUCUUCCAAAAUGGGCGAAAGCCUGAUGGAGCAACGCCGCGUGGGUGAAGAAGGUCUUCGGAUCGUAAAACCCUGUUGUUAGAGAAGAAAGUGCGUGAGAGUAACUGUUCACGUUUCGACGGUAUCUAACCAGAAAGCCACUGCUAACUACGUG
rnacentral:rRNA from 1 species